rnacentral:rRNA from 1 species
UUCCGGUUGAUCCUGCCGGAGGCUACCGCUAUUGGAGUUCGAUUAAGCCAUGCGAGUUUAGAGGCCUAGCCUCGGCGUACCGCUCAGUAACACGUGGGUAACCUACCCUAUGCUGGGGAAUAAGCUCGGGAAACUGAGAAUAAUGCCCCAUAGUCCACUACGCCUGGAACGGUGAGUGGAUCAAAGCUCCGGCGGCAUAGGAUGGGCCUGCGGCGUAUCAGGUUGUAGGGGGUGUAAUGUACCCUCUAGCCAUCCACGCGUACGGGUGUUGGGAGACAUUGCCCGGAGAUGGAUUCUGAGACACGAAUCCAGACCCUACGGGGUGCAGCAGGCGCGAAAACUUGGCAAUGCGAGAAAUCGUGACCAGGGAACUCCAAGUGGCAGGGGUAAGACCCUGUCUUUUUCCGACUCUAAAUAGGUCGGCGAAUAAGGGGUGGGUAAGGACGGUGCCAGCCGCCGCGGUAAUACCGGCGCCUCAAGUGGUAGUCGCUUUUAUUGGGCCUAAAACGUCCGUAGCCGGUCUGGUACAUUCGUGGGUAAAUCAACUCGCUCAACGAGUUGAAUUCUGCGAGGACGGCCAGACUUGGGACCGGGAGAGGUGUGGGGUACUCUCAGGGUAGGGGUAAAAUCCUGUCAUCCUGAGAGGACCACCUGUUGCGAAGGCUCCACACUAGAACGGAUCCGACGGUCAGGGACGAAGCCUAGGGGCACGAACCGGAUUAGAUACCCGGGUAGUCCUAGGUGUAAACGCUGUGGACUUGAUGUUGGGGACGCUCCGAGCGUUCUCAGUGUCGAAGCGAAGGUGAUAAGUCCACUGCCUGGGGAGUACGGUCGCAAGGCUGAAACUUAAAGGAAUUGGCGGGGGAGCACCGCAACCUGAGGAUUGUGCGGCUUAAUUGGAUUCAACGCCGGA